GUCGAAAGCGAUGAUAUAUCUCGUAGUAAGAUAGUUUUAUAUCAGCGAGCGGUGAAUGUCUAUUGUAUUGCAUGCAACGGACUCAUUGGGGAGAGAUUUACUGAGCUUACUCCACCUUACCCUCGUAUAAUGGAAGGAAGUUAUUUAUUUCAUCGGAACUGGAUGCUGUAUUGGAAUGGAACCCAGUUGCGUCAGGCGAUAGGAGCGGUCGAUGACAGACCCCCUUAAAGGAAAAAACAACUGUUGCUGCUGGUUUUCUUUUUUCAUUUUUAAGGGUUCUUUGAAUAGUGUCUUCAAAAUACAGUAUAAAUGUGAGAUUGGUAGUAUAAUGACUGUUAGCUUUGGUGGUUUGCAUGUGAUUGUGCAGUUAAAAAACAAGGGUUUUAUAGCCAAAGCCAACCAUUUUUGUGCAGGGAA